AGUGGUGUAGAGGUUGGGUGAGAACGGGACGUUUUGCAUCAUUAUGAAGAAGGUGGAUAGUCACAAGGCUUGAGUCGAGGGUGAGAAAAAAUCGUAGAUAAGGAGAGAGAAAAGGCGAUAGAAAUCAGUCGAGUGAGCAUCUCCGACACGGCAACAACUGCCUUCUUCAUCGUAUAACUAGAUCGCAAUCAUGGUUAACUAUGGCAUCGUGCUUCUGUUGAGUUUUGUAUCGAUGGUUGGGUCGGCCAUUGGUGUAUCUAUGUCUCCUGGGUGAUGUCACCAACUGCAUUCCUCGUCGUAAAAGCAAUUCGCAAUCAUGGGUAAAUAUUCUGUUAAGUUAGUUAAUUUAGUGUCAGUAGUUUCUUGUAAUAUGGUUAAAUUAUUUAACCAGUUACAAGUGUUGCGUAAUUCCAAAGCAGUUACAAUUGCCGCAAGAAGGUGAAUCAGGAGAAAGAAUAUAGUUUUAAACGAGAGAGAAAGGGCUAUAGAAAUCAGUCGAAUGAGCAUCUCCGAUACGGCAACAUUUGCAGCGCACCAUCUUCAACUGGAUUGUUCAUCGUAUAACCGGUUCGUAAUUAUGCGUCUUUGAUGGCUGGGUCGACCACUGGUGUAUCGAUUUCACCUUGGUAUGGUGGAUACCAAACCGCAGUGCCAUCGCCUUACUACAAAAUACCAUACGCAAAAACCGGUUACUACACCACUAAGGCCCUACAGUGUUGCACCACAACUUGUGAUGCCCCGAGCUACUUCACUGAAACCCCAAAGUACAAAACCCGAAGUAACUCUGCCCGAGCUACAUCACCAAAGAUCCGGAGUAUUACACCGAGGCUCCCAAGUACUACACUAAUGCCCGGAAUACUACACGACUACGUCUGCUGCCCCUGGCUACAACACCAAGGCCCCUAAUUACAACAACACCGAAGCGCCCAAGGAUUACACUACAACCUACGCUGCCCCGAGCUACUACACCGACGCCCGAAGUAUUUCUCUGCUUAAAAGGAGUUGUCUAAAAAAAAAGAAAUCAGUCGAGUGAGGAUCUCCGACACUUCAACAUCUUCAGUGCACUGUUUGUUAUCAGCUGCAUUCCUCAUUUUGUAACCAAAUCGCAAUUAUGGCGUCGUGCUGCUGUUGGGUGUUGAAUCGUUGACGGCUGGGUCGAUCACUGGUGUACCGAUGUCUCCUUGGUAUGGCGGAUACCAAACCGCAACGCCGCC